GGGCCUGUAGCCUAGCCUGGAUAGGGCACCAGCCUUCUAAGCUGGGGGUCGGGGGUUCAAAUCCCCCCAGGCCCG
rnacentral:tRNA from 1 species